rnacentral:rRNA from 1 species
GUGGGGAAUAUUGCACAAUGGGCGAAAGCCUGAUGCAGCAACGCCGCGUGAGGGACGACGGCCUUCGGGUUGUAAACCUCUUUUAGUAGGGAAGAAGCGAAAGUGACGGUACCUGCAGAAAAAGCACCGGCUAACUACGUGCCAGCAGCCGCGGUAAUACGUAGGGUGCAAGCGUUAUCCGGAAUUAUUGGGCGUAAAGAGCUCGUAGGCGGUCUGUCGCGUCUGCUGUGAAAACUGGAGGCUCAACCUCCAGCCUGCAGUGGGUACGGGCAGAGUAGAGUGCGGUAGGGGAGAUUGGAAUUCCUGGUGUAGCGGUGGAAUGCGCAGAUAUCAGGAGGAACACCGAUGGCGAAGGCAGAUCUCUGGGCCGUAACUGACGCUCAGGAGCGAAAGCGUGGGGAGCGAACAGGAUUAGAGACCCGCGUAGUCC